rnacentral:rRNA from 1 species
AUUGAACGCUAGCGGUAUGCCUUACACAUGCAAGUCGAACGGAGUGGCGAACGGGUGAGUAAUUUAUCGGAACGUUCCCAGUAGCGGGGGAUAACUACGCGAAAGCGUAGCUCAUACCGCCUACUUUUGGCGCGGCCGAUCUCGGAGUAGCUAGUUGGGGGGGUAACGGAUCACCCAGGUGACGAUCCGUAGCUGGGUUGAGAGGACGACCAGCCACACUGGGACUUAGACACGGCCCAGACUCCUAUGGGAGGCAGCAGUGGGGAAUUUUGGACAAGUGGGGAAACCCUGAUCCAGCCAUCCCGCGUGUGCGAUGAAGGCCUUCGGGUUGGAAAGCACUUUUGGCAGGAAAGCGGUACCUGCAGAAUAAGCACCGGCUAACUACGUGCCAGCAGCCGCGGUAAUUC